UCUGGCGACCAUAGCGAGGUGGUCCCACUCCUUCCCAUCCCGAACAGGACAGUGAAACACCUCAGCGCCGAUGAUAGUGCGGAUUGCCCGUGUGAAAGUAGGUCAUUGCCAGAC
rnacentral:rRNA from 5 species